rnacentral:rRNA from 1 species
UACGUAGGGGGCAAGCGUUGUCCGGAAUCACUGGGCGUAAAGCGCGCGCAGGCGGUCAUCUACGUCUGGGGUGAAAGCCCGGAGCUCAACUCCGGGAUUGCCUUGGAUACGGGAUGACUUGAGGAUCGGAGAGGCAAGGGGAAUUCCACGUGUAGCGGUGAAAUGCGUAGAUAUCUGGAGGAACACCGGUGGCGAAGGCGGCAUCCUGGACCAAUUCUGACGCUGAGGAGCGAAAGCCAGGGGAGCAAACGGG